AACGCAACUUGCGCCUUUUGGUAUUCCGAAAGGCAUGCCUGUUUGAGUGUCAUAUAAACCUCACCUCUACUGUUUUUCAUUAGACAUGUGGACUGGUGCUUUGGGCGUCUGCCGUUUACUCUGGCUCGCCUUAAAUGUCUAAGUGGAAUGCGUAAUAAGUCUUCGCAACCCUCCACUCUAAUACAAACUUUUAUAUUCUGACCUCAAAUCAGGUAGGACUACCCGCUGAACUUAA
rnacentral:misc_RNA from 1 species